rnacentral:rRNA from 1 species
CAGUCGCCGCGGUAAUACGAAAGGUCCAAGCGUUACUCGGAAUUACUGGGCGUAAAGCGCGCGUAGGCGGUUUUGUAUGUCGAUUGUGAAAGCCCCGGGCUCAACCUGGGAACUGCAGUCGAAACUGCAAGACUUGAAUGUUGGAGAGGUUGGGGGAAUACCUAGUGGAGAAGUGAAAUUCGUAGAGAUUAGGUGGAACACCAGAGGCGAAGGCGCCUGACUGGCCAAACAUUGACGCUAAGGCGCGAAAGCGUGGGUAGCAAACAGGAUUAGAUACCCGAGUAGUCCCUGUCUCUUAUAA